CCACUUUUGUCCCCAUCGGUCGCCGGGGGAAAAGGAGCACCCGUCGUCUUCAUCAUGACACCUGCUGAUGGAAAGUUGACAACAUUUCCAGAGAGCAGGAAGGUCCACUUUGAGAGGGCAUUCUCCUUAUAUUCAUGUAAACGGGAAGAAAUAAACAGCCCAUCCACAUUCCAGUGAGAGGAGAGCAGACAUUGUACAGUCAUCCUCCUUAUAUUCAUCUAAACGGGAAGAAAUAAACAUCCCAUCAUUCGCAUUCCAGUGAGAGGAGAGCAGACAUUGUACAGUCAUCCUCCUUAUAUUCAUCUAAACGGGAAGAAAUAAACAUCCCAUCAUUUGCAUUCCAGUGAGAGGAGAGCAGACAUUGUACAG